rnacentral:rRNA from 1 species
ACUCCUACGGGAGGCAGCAGUGGGGAAUAUUGCACAAUGGGGAAACCCUGAUGCAGCCAUGCCGCGUGUGUGAAGAAGGCCUUCGGUUGUAAAGCACUUUCAGUAGGGAGGAAGGUAGUGUAGUUAACACCUGCAUUAUUUGACGUUACCUACAGAAGAAGCACCGGCUAACUCCGUGCCAGCAGCCGCGGUAAUACGGAGGGGUGCGAGCGUUAAUCGGAAUUACUGGGCGUAAAGCGCAUGCAGGCGGCCUGUUAAGUCAGAUGUGAAAGCCCGGGGGCUUAACCUCGGAAUUGCAUUUGAAACUGGCAGGCUAGAGUCUUGUAGAGGGGGUAGAAUUUCAGGUGUAGCGGUGAAAUGCGUAGAGAUCUGAAGGAAUACCAGUGGCGAAGGCGGCCCCUGGACAAAGACUGACGCUCAGAUGCGAAAGCGUGGGGAGCAAACAGGAUUAGAUACCCUGGUAGACUGUCA